CUACUUAUCUGGUUCUGGGGGCCUCGUUGAUCACCUAGUACGAGCAUCCAGGGCCGGCAUUGCACUGCGCUCGCGUUGACCCCUGCCACUAGCCCAAACUGGUGCGGCUGGGGCAUGCAAAUUGCGUAAGUACGGUUCAGUGAUAUCCCGGAAUUGUU
rnacentral:snRNA from 1 species